rnacentral:rRNA from 1 species
UACGUAGGGGGCAAGCGUUGUCCGGAUUUAUUGGGCGUAAAGAGCGUGUAGGCGGCCAGACAGGUCCGUUGUGAAAACUCGAGGCUCAACCUCGAGAUGUCGAUGGAAACCGUCUGGCUAGAGUCCGGAAGAGGAGUGUGGAAUUCCUGGUGUAGCGGUGAAAUGCGCAGAUAUCAGGAGGAACACCGGUGGCGAAGGCGGGUCUCUGGGCCGAUAUUGACGCUGAGGAGCGAAAGCGUGGGGAGCGAACAGG